AGAGUUUGAUCAUGGCUCAGGACGAACGCUGGCGGCGCGCUUAACACAUGCAAGUCGAGCGAGAACCAGUCCUUCGGGACUGGGGACAGCGGCGAACGGGUGAGUAUCACGUGGGUAAUCUGCCCUCGGCACUGGGAUAGCCCGGGGAAACCCGGAUUAAUACCGGAUAGCCUUUCGAGCCUUCGGGCUCGUCAGAAAAGGUAGCUUCGGCUUCCGGCUGAGGAUGAGCCCGCGGCGGAUUAGCUUGUUGGUGGGGUAAUGGCCCACCAAGGCGACGAUCCGUAGCUGGUCUGAGAGGACGAUCAGCCACACUGGGACUGAGACACGGCCCAGACUCCUACGGGAGGCAGCAGUGGGGAAUCUUGCGCAAUGGGCGAAAGCCUGACGCAGCGACGCCGCGUGCGGGAAGAAGGCCUUCGGGUUGUAAACCGCUUUCAGGAGGGACGAAGCCACUCGGGUUAAUAGCCCAGAGGGUGACGGUACCUCCAGAAGAAGCCCCGGCUAACUACGUGCCAGCAGCCGCGGUAAUACGUAGGGGGCAAGCGUUGUCCGGAUUUAUUGGGCGUAAAGAGCGUGUAGGCGGCCAGGUAGGUCUGCUGUGAAAACUCGAGGCUCAACCUCGAGAUGUCGGCGGAAACCAUCUGGCUAGAGU
rnacentral:rRNA from 1 species